GAUGAACGCUGGCGGCAUGCCUAAGACAUGCAAGUCGAACGAGACGACCUUUGAAAGACCGAGUACUUGUACAAAGUUGGAAAAAGAUCAUCGUCUAGUGGCAGACGGGUGAGUAACACGUGGGUAACCUACCUUCAAGCUGGGGAUAACGUUUGGAAACGAACGCUAAUACCGAAUAAGAUAUAGCAAUAUAUUGAAAGAAGCCUUUAAAGCUUCACUUAAAGAUGGGCCUGCGGCGUAUUAACUAGUUGGUGAGGUAAUGGCUCACCAAGGUAACGAUGCGUAGCCGAACUGAGAGGUUGAACGGCCACACUGGGACUGAGACACGGCCCAGACUCCUACGGGANACAGCAGUUAGGAAUAUUGCAACAAUGGAGGAAACUCUGAUGCAGCAACGCCGCGUGAGGAAG
rnacentral:rRNA from 1 species